UACGUAGGGCGCAAGCGUUGUCCGGAAUUAUUGGGCGUAAAGAGCUCGUAGGCGGUUUGUCGCGUCUGUCGUGAAAGCCCACGGCUUAACCGUGGGUCUGCGGUGGAUACGGGCAGACUAGAGGCAGGUAGGGGAGAAUGGAAUUCCCGGUGUAGCGGUGAAAUGCGCAGAUAUCGGGAGGAAUACCCGUGGCGAAGGCGGCCAGCUGGGCUACACCUGACACUGAGACGCGAAGGCGUGGGGAGCGAACGGG
rnacentral:rRNA from 1 species